UUGGGGACUUUUUUAUUUUAUUUUCUUUCCUGGCCUAUUUGCGGAGUUAGUCUCUUCUUUGUGUUGUUCCUUGCAGAUUUCUCUUCUUUCAACACCAACUGCUAUUGGAGGUGGCUAGUGAAGGAAGUUGAGGUUCCACCCCAAAACCAAUUGGCAAUGGGGGGAGUAACCCAACUCCUUAUAAGCCCUUGCUAGGUUUCUCAACUUUCCAAUGUGGGACUCUUUA
rnacentral:lncRNA from 1 species